rnacentral:rRNA from 1 species
CCGGAGGCCACUGCUAUUGGGGUUCGGCUAAGCCAUGCGAGUGGAUUCCUCCUUCGGGACGAGGAUAAGGGCGGACGGCUCAGUAACACGUGGGUAAUCUACCCUCGGGUCGGGGAUAACCCCGGGAAACUGGGGCUAAUACCCGAUAGGGGGAGAGGUCUGGAAUGAUCCUCCUCCGAAAGCUCCGGCGCCCGAGGAUGAGCCUGCGGCCGAUUAGGUUGUUGGUGGUGUAACGGACCACCAAGCCUGCGAUCGGUACGGGCAGUGGGAGCUGUCGCCCGGAGAUUGGGGCUGAGACACGGCCCCAGGCCCUACGGGGCGCAGCAGGCGCGAAAACUCCGCAAUGCUCGCAAGAGCGACGGGGGGACCCCAAGUGCCCCUGCACUGCAGGGGCUUUUGCGGAGUGUAAACAGCUCCGCGAAUAAGGGCUGGGCAAGACCGGUGCCAGCCGCCGCGGUAACACCGGCAGCCCGAGUGGUGGCCACUAUUAUUGGGCCUAAAGCGUUCGUAGCCGGGCCGUUAAGUCCCUUGUGUAAUGUUCUCGCUCAACCUGUAUCUCUUGGGCGGAUACUGACGCGCUCAGGCCCUGGACAGCGGCAAGGUACUCCAAGGGUA